rnacentral:rRNA from 1 species
UACGUAGGGUGCAAGCGUUGUUCGGAAUCACUGGGCGUAAAGCGCGUGUAGGCGGUUUGGCAAGUCGGAUGUGAAAGCCCUGGGCUUAACCUAGGAAGUGCAUCCGAAACUACUUUGCUUGAGGGCAGUAGAGGGAGGUGGAAUUCCUGGUGUAGAGGUGAAAUUCGUAGAUAUCAGGAGGAAUACCGGUGGCGAAGGCGGCCUCCUGGGCUGAUCCUGACGCUGAGAUGCGAAAGCAUGGGGAGCAAACAGG